rnacentral:snRNA from 2 species
GUGCUCGCUUCGGCAGCACACAUUCUAAAAUUGGAACGAUACAGAGAAGAUUAGCAUGGCCCUUGCACAGGGAUGACACGCAAAUCCAUGAAGCCUUCCAUAUUAAA